AUUGAACGCUGGCGGCAUGCCUUACACAUGCAAGUCGAACGGCAGCACGGGUGCUUGCACCUGGUGGCGAGUGGCGAACGGGUGAGUAAUAUAUCGGAACGUACCUUAUCGUGGGGGAUAACGCAGCGAAAGCUGCGCUAAUACCGCAUACGCCCUGAGGGGGGAAAGCGGGGGGACCGUAAGGCCUCGCGCGAUUAGAGCGGCCGAUAUCUGAUUAGCUUGUUGGUGGGGUAAAAGCCCACCAAGGCGACGAUCAGUAGCUGGUCUGAGAGGACGAUCAGCCACACUGGGACUGAGACACGGCCCAGACUCCUACGGGAGGCAGCAGUGGGGAAUUUUGGACAAUGGGCGAAAGCCUGAUCCAGCCAUGCCGCGUGAGUGAAGAAGGCCUUCGGGUUGUAAAGCUCUUUUGUCAGGGAAGAAACAGCAGCUCUAACACAGUCUGCGAAUGACGGUACCUGAAGAAUAAGCACCGGCUAACUACGUG
rnacentral:rRNA from 1 species